AUUGAACGCUGGCGGCAGGCUUAACACAUGCAAGUCGAGCGAGCGGAGGACGGGUGAGUAAUGUCUGGGAACCUGCCUGAUGACGGGGGAUAACUACUGGAAACGGUCGCUAAUACCGCAUACCAUCAGAUGUGCCCAGAUGGGAUUAGCUAGUAGGGGGGGUAAUGGCUCACCUGGGCGACGAUCCCUAGCUGGUCUUCGAGGGUGACCAGCCACACUGGAACUGAGACACGGCCCAGACUCCUACGGGAGGGAGCAUUGGGGAAUAUUGCACAAUGGGCGCAAGCCUGAUGCAGCCAUGCCGCGUGUGUGAAGAAGGCCUUCGGGUUGUAAAGCACUUUCAGCGAGGAGGCGUUACUCGCAGAAGAAGCACCGGCUAACUCCGUGCCAGCAGCCGCGGUAAUUC
rnacentral:rRNA from 1 species